AGAAGCAGGCUCCUCAAAGGGGAGCCCGACGUGGGACUCAAUCCCGGGUCUCCAGGAUCACGCCCUGGGCCGAAGGCAGUGCUAAACCGCUGAGCCACCCAGGCUGCCCUUUUCUGCUGUUUUAAGUCUUCAUUUUAUGAACCAGGCGACAGAACUCUAAUCAGCAAACAGGAGAACCCAGAGAGCGCAGUGAUUCUACCACGGAUAAUGGUUCCUGUGAUGGAAGCGCACGGGCUGUGUGGGGGUUUUCUGAAUGCUGGUGAAAGAUCGAGAUGUUUACAUACGACUGUCCAAAGUCUGCUCCAGAAGCACAACUGUGCAUGUCCAUGAGAAGCCAAACCAGAAUCACAACGAAACGAUGGCACUACCUUCCCAAGCUCUGGGAAAUUUGGAGAUGAGCAGUCAUGGGUAGUAAAUACAGACUCAAGGACCUCAAGUGCCCUUGGGUGACACCCAGCCCAAGGAGCCCACAGGCACACCUGCUCAGGAGAACCCCACCUUACAUCACCUCAUCCUUGUCACUUCCAAGCACAGUUGGGAACUUCUGAAGAGUCAUCUUUAUGACAAAAUCUGUUGUUUCUGUGUCUGCGGCCUUUGGGGACCGCAGAUGCUAAUUACCCAUGGUCCCACAGGCCUAACAAUUUUGCUCUAAUUACUUAAAAAAAAAAAAAAGUGGAAGACUAAUAAACAUUUCCUAAUAUCCAAAGAUCAGAAAUUCUCAUUAAA